AAAGGGGGAGGGCGAGGCAUCGCAAUUGCUCCCCCAGGGAAAUAAGGGUUAUAGUGCAGACCCUCUCGGAUCGAAACACCAGCAGGUGGAUCACGAUAACCAGUAAGAAGGGCAAAUACAUAAUUCUGACCAUUAUGACGAGCUUUUGUGAUAAGGCUCAGAUCUGGAGGGUAUGCUCCACCAUUAGCAAAUCUAGCAGCUUGUUCAUUUGCAUAUGGUUGAGGAAACCGGUCACUGAGUUUACCUGGACGAGUGAACAUCUCACCCUCAUCAUUGGGUCCAUCAACUACCUCAAUUUCAGCAGCCAUAGCUUUUGUCUCCUCUUCAGUAUAUGCAACACCAACCAAAUCACGGUAUGAUAUUAAAGACAUGGAAUGACAAGAUGCACAAACUUGUUGGUAAACCUGAUGACCACGACGAAUCGAAGCAUGA
rnacentral:misc_RNA from 1 species